AUUGAACGCUGGCGGCAGGCCUAACACAUGCAAGUCGAGCGGAUGAAGGGAGCUUGCUCCUGGAUUCAGCGGCGGACGGGUGAGUAAUGCCUAGGAAUCUGCCUGGUAGUGGGGGAUAACGUCAGGAAACGGGCGCUAAUACUGCAUACGUCCUGAGGGAGAAAGUGGGGGAUCUUCGGACCUCACGCUAUCAGAUGAGCCUAGGUCGGAUUAGCUAGUUGGUGGGGUAAAGGCCUACCAAGGCGACGAUCCGUAACUGGUCUGAGAGGAUGAUCAGUCACACUGGAACUGAGACACGGUCCAGACUCCUACGGGAGGCAGCAGUGGGGAAUAUUGGACAAUGGGCGAAAGCCUGAUCCAGCCAUGCCGCGUGUGUGAAGAAGGUCUUCGGAUUGUAAAGCACUUUAAGUUGGGAGGAAGGGCAGUAAGUUAAUACCUUGCUGUUUUGACGUUACCAACAGAAUAAGCACCGGCUAACUUCGUG
rnacentral:rRNA from 1 species